rnacentral:lncRNA from 1 species
UGCCGAUCUAAACUCCCUGUUGCUGCAUGGCCCUUUGAUCUGCCUGGAAAUGGGAAGAAGAGUGCAAGACCACACGCUGUGACAACAAAUACUGUCCUGAGUCAGCUGGCCACUGCCUGGCCGGCUCACUCAGACCAGCCAUUGCUGGCAGCGCAGGAGUGGAUUUGGCUACUGCCCAGUCAGUGACACUGACUGAUAGCACUGUGACUCUCAUUCCAACAGAAUGGCAGCAGAGUUUGAACCUUCUUGCCAG